AUCUUUUUCUGAUCUGACCAUAAAUUCUCUAUUGAUAUUUUUGUCUUUAUUUAAAUAUAAAAAUAUACAGAAUACUUCGAUCUCAUCUAUAUGUGCUUACGUAUGUCUUAUAUAACAAAAAAAAAGUAUUAUAUAUGACAACAUUCGUCACACAUUCAAUAAUAAAAUAUAAAUAACAAAUUAAAAAUCUACAAAAAAUUCGAUGGCUAAAAGUUAACCUCAAAAUAAGUUUCUAAUCUAGGAAUGAAAUUGACAACUUGGAUAGUGAAUUUUGAUCAUCGAUAAAUAUUUAAAUUCAUUGGUUUCUAAAUAAAUUAGUUAUGGUUACCGACACAUGCCUAGUAACCAACUUUUCCUUACUUAUUUGACAAUCAAGUUACGUUUGUUAACUGCUUCUCUAAUUAGAUUAAAAUCCUAGUGAUGCCACGAAGAAUUACUAACCUAACCACAUUCUGAACUAGAAGAGCCUAAUUAAAUUUAGCAAUUACCGAUGCAGAACUGCUUAAAAUUGAUUCCGUGAUUUUCUAAUGAUGCCUGUUCCUAAUUGCUACUUGAACCAAAUUAAAAUGCAAUUACGGACACCUAAUUUAGUUUAGUAAUUAAUUUUUAAUCUAAUUGAAAUAUCUGGCCACAAUACCCAACUAAAUAAAAGAUUAUUGAACAUUAAAAUAAAAAAUCAUAGAAAUACUUAGGAAUCGAGAAAUAAAAUAAAAUAAAAACAAAUUCUAGUCUCAUGAAUGUAUACAAAGUUGUUUAUUUCAUUUCUAAACUAGAAAAGUAACUACUCGCUAGUCAUAGGAAGAAGAACAAAAAUAGCACAAGUAAACAUCGCCUAUGAUUAGUCGGAUUGACGGAAAGAAGUCGAAAUCUCUUUGGAAUAAUUUUUGUUCUUCUUGCAAUUAGUCAUAGGAAGAAGAACAAAAAUAGCACAAGUAAACAUCGCUUAUGAUUAGUCGGAUUGACGGAAAGAAGUCGAAAUCUCUUUGGAAUAAUUUUUGUUCUUUUUGCAAUUGCGCGGUUUCUCUUUGAGACUGUUUCACACUGUGUUCUUCUGCAUAGAUAUGAUAAGUGGUGCCUCCCUCCUCCCUCUAAUUUUAUUUUAUUACUGCCCUAAUUUUGUAGCAAUUAGACUUUUGUGCUUUUAAUUAAUUCCCUAUGUUAAGAGGGUGAAGUUAGUCAUGGCCAUGACUAACCAGGUGGUGCAAAUUUGAAUUUUUCUUUAUUUUUUUUAGUCAAUUACGUCAAAUUUGAUAUUUGCCAUCUGCAUACCGCAAAUAAACAAUACCCGUAAAAAUUAGGUAAAAUCCAAUCAGAAUCAACCAAUAUCGUAUAUAAUAUAAAUAUUUAAUGCAUGCAAUUUCGAGCUAUCAAUAUAUACCUAUAACAUUUCACACUCUACUUAACUUGUUCAAAACAUGUACUAAAUGGAAGAAUAGCUAUAGGCACGAUAUAUAUAUAUAUAUAUUUCAAAAAAUAACUAAAUGGAAGAAUAGCUAUAGGCACGAUAUAUAGCAUGAGUGAGGCAAAAAAUCACCACACAUUACUCUCACCGUAAACAAAAUCCUAUCCGACUCCUCCGUGUAGCCGAUCGGACCCAUCUUCCUCUUAGUCUAGUCACCGUCCGACAAAGUGAUGAAGCAUGGCGAAGAGGAAGUUCCAAUCGAGCCCGUCACCCCGGAAAAGCACAAAUAACUAAGCUUUUUUGUUAAUUCUUUCUAAAUUUUUCAUUUUCUUCACAGUAGUAGUUUGAACCCUAGAUCGUUCGACUAAGGUUAAAAUCUCGAUCCCAAUAUGGUAUGCCUCUAUUCAUCCUCGAGAAACCUUCGUUCACCGGAAUUUAUGUGAGGGCAUAGUUGUGUGUUCAUCCUAUUUUGCAUUUUACAUUUUGGAAGGGUCUUACGGGAUGAUGAGUUCAUUUUGGCUGUAAUUGUUUAUUUUUUGCAUGUCGGUUGGUUGUUUUAUGCAUAUUAAUCAUGUUUGGGGGUCGACAUUUGUGUUACAAGUUCAAUCGGUUAAGAAUUAAUUAUGGUAUUUCUAUGUACUCACAAUUGCAUUUUUUAAACUUAGCGUUCUAUGUAUUAUACUUAUAAAGGUGAUAUGUGUACCCGAAUUGUGUUUUGAGGUGCUCCCUAGUGAAAUUGGUAAAAUUUCAAAGUGAUAACGAGAUGUCCUUUAUUGUUGAUUGAUAUUUAAUUUUUUACAAAAUUAAAAAAAGACUAAAUCUCUAGUCAACCAGUUUGUCAUCUCGUACUUCCAUAAUGAAGUCGAGAAGCUAAAGAAGGAGAUGUUAGAUUGUCAUAUUAAAGAAAUGAAGCAUGUUAGGAAGUUAUAGUGUUUCAACCGAUCAUGUUAUGAUUGAUUCUGCCCGUGGUUAUCAUUGUGUAAGAUGUUUUUAGACAUUAAAAUAUAUUAGACUGAAUGCCACAAUAUGCUUUCAAUAAUAGUAUGUAUACCGGCUUAAUACUCAUGUAUAUACCCCCACUUAUAAUAUAUACACUUAGACGUGCUGUCAAUGUUGUUAUGUAAGGUUGUUUUGAUCAAUUAUAGUUUUUUGACAUACCCAUCAUUCUUCUGAUACAUACUUCUUUGAAGUGGAGAAUUAAUAUUCAUUUGCUUUAACAACUUUAUGCAAAGUAGAAAAUGCAAGAUGGAUGAUACAAAUGACAAAUAAGAGAAUAUGAAUAUUUUUACAUGCUUUAGUCUUGCCAUUGAAAAGUUUGGCAUGAACUGUUGAUUGUAAAUAUACCGUGUACAAACCUUUUCACCGGAGCUAAUAGAGAAAAUGUUUUUACCGAUUCUUUCAAUUGUCUCAUUCAUCAGAAGAUUGACUGAAAUCAACCACACUCAAUGAUACAUGUUGCUACUCAGAUAAUACCUAAGAAAACACCAUUCAUACCUUGAAUGUUGCUAUUUGUACCUGGUGCACAUACUUACAUAACUGUAUCAAAUUCCGGACUACCCUAUAGCAGAUUUUUACGUACCUAUAAUAAUGGUGUCAUAUUCUUUAGUAAAAUAUACAUAUUCCUUAGUAAUCUGUGCUUUGAAAAACGACCAUUUUCAAUUAGAAAUAUUCGCUUGUUGUCGGUAUCAAGAGAUUAAUUCAUCGUAAUAGUGUUCACUCCAUUUUCUGAAUUGUAUGAAAAGAUAAACAACAUAUAUUUACUAUAGAUGGAUAAACAAGUUUGAAAUGACUUAAUUAAAUUAUAUAGGUUAUUACUCAUACAUGCUUGUGGGCUUUCUAUUGAAUUCGCUUUCACGAAGUAACACAAGGUGGGUAAUACGCUACAAAUCCAUGUAUUUAAUGACAUCAACAAUGUACUCCUUCACGCCUUCGAUGUACCCCUUCUUUAUUUUAAUAUACUAUUUUUCCCGAUAUGUGUACCUGGACUCUACUUUCAUAUAUUUAUAGCCUUACAAUGUA